UACGUAGGGGGCGAGCGUUGUCCGGAUUUACUGGGCGUAAAGGGUGCGCAGGCGGCCCGACAGGUGUGUGGUGAAAUCUCCCGGCUUACCUGGGAGGGGGCCACGCAAACCGUUGGGCUUGAGGCUCGGGGAGGGGCGUGGAAUUCCGGGUGGAGCGGUGAAAUGCGUAGAUAUAGGGAAGAACACCAAUCAGGCGAAGGCAGUUAACUAGGCUAUUCCUGACAUUGAGGCAUGAAAGCGUGGGGAGCAAAACGG
rnacentral:rRNA from 1 species